UGGGGAAUAUUGCACAAUGGGGGAACCCUGAUGCAGCGACGCCGCGUGGAGGAAGAAGGUCUUCGGAUUGUAAACUCCUGUUGUUGGGGAAGAUAAUGACGGUACCCAACAAGGAAGUGACGGCUAACUACGUGCCAGCAGCCGCGGUAAAACGUAGGUCACAAGCGUUGUCCGGAAUUACUGGGUGUAAAGGGAGCGCAGGCGGGAAUGCAAGUUGGAAGUGAAAUCCAUGGGCUCAACCCAUGAACUGCUUUCAAAACUGCAUUUCUUGAGUAGUGCAGAGGUAGAUGGAAUUCCCGGUGUAGCGGUGGAAUGCGUAGAUAUCGGGAGGAACACCAGUGGCGAAGGCGGUCUACUGGGCACCAACUGACGCUGAGGCUCGAAAGCAUGGGUAGCAAACAGGAUUAGAUACCCUGGUAGU
rnacentral:rRNA from 1 species